rnacentral:rRNA from 1 species
CCUACGGGGGGCAGCAGUAGGGAAUAUUGCUCAAUGGGGGAAACCCUGAAGCAGCAACGCCGCGUGGAGGAUGAAGGUUUUCGGAUUGUAAACUCCUUUUGGUAGAGAAGAAAAUGACGGGAUCUAAAGAAUAAGAAACGGGUAACACCGUGCCAGCAGCUGCGGUAAUAUGGAGGGGGCAAGAGUUAUGCGGAAUCACUGGGGGUAAAGAGGGCGUAGGAGGGUUAGUAAGUGAGAUGUGAAAUCCUAUGGCUUAACCACAGAACUGCAUUUGAAACUGUUAUUCUAGAGUAUGGGAGAGGUAGGUGGAAUUCUUGGUGUAGGGGUAAAAUCCGUAGAGAUUAAGAGGAAUACUCAUUGCGAAGGCGGCCUGCUAGAACAUAACUGACGCUGAUGCGCGAAAGCGUGGGGAGCAAACAGGAUUAGAUACCCGUGUAGUC